ensembl:lncRNA
AUAAAGUGUUCAAAUAUAGAUUUUGCUGUAAUAUUUUGCUUUGUGUUAUGUUUGGAUAACGAUUCUAGUUCGCACUGCCAUAUUAACAAGUAAAAAAGUGUCCAAAUCACUUAAUUUUUGAACCGUUUGUAUAUAGUUUUAUCAUUUAAAACAAACAAUUUUGUGUAUUUGUCAUAUAUCUCUUUAAAAUAUAUGCAACUUAGUCUGAUAUUCUAUUAAAUGUACGCGACGUUCGUGCGCUUUUAAUACUGUUUGAGGCCACUCUUUAAUAAGAAUGCAUUAUUUCUGCACACUAAACGCUUGGACCGAGACUUGGUUUGGGGGUGAAGAGUGGAGCUGUGGUCAGGGAGAGGUUAACUGGCUCGUGCGCUCUGGUGGCUGGGCAGGCGCGGAGCUGCGGCGCGCUGACGCGGGGAUGGAGAGCUCAGAUGCGCUGCUGCUCCGCCAGGAUCCCGCGGCCCGGGCCGACCUUUCCCUACUGCUUUCAACGCUCUUCUGCGCCGGAACUUUACAUCACGGUUCAUCAGGCAUUUCCUGGACUUCCUGGUUUCUUGGCCCAGUCCAGCUGAGAGUCCACCUGCUCCGCUCAGAGAUCCAGCUCACUUUCCCAUGACGGCUGGACUCAAUUAUCGGCUCAGAAAAACCACCGCGUUGAGGUGAAUUUAGAUGUGAUUGUCUGCCGAAUGGAGAAAAAGAGUCCAGCGCUACAGUGACAGGUACGUAUGAAUGCUGCCAGAAUCCAGCAGUCACACAUUCACGUCCUUGUUGGUUUGUCACAAGCCGAGGCAGAGCUGAGCUGGCGGACAGCCAUGUUGAAUCAGUGCUUCAUGGUUUAGGCAUAAUGCAGUGGAGAUGAAAUGUGGUAUUUUCUGCUCUUUGUGUACCUGUCUUCACCAUGUGGGUUCGAAACAAGGGGAACGUGUUGUGAGUCACUCAUGGGAUUUGGCCCAGUGUUCCUGUAGCAUUGGAAAAUAGGCUUAAAAAUGCUGUUUUUGGCAUGGAGCAGCAGGUACUGUACGUUAAUGCGCUGUCAAGGACUCAACUUCGCUCAAGUUGUUCUGUCUUAUAUCACCCACAGGCACGCUGAGUGUCAUCUGUAAUCUGUCCUGAUAUACAGUAGGAUCUGCAGUCUACAGUGGAGCAUGUAACAUUUCCAGAUAAGGUUGUCCAUUAGUGUGGUCCCAUAAAAUACCAAAAUAAAUGGUUAUUUCUUAUUUAUUCUAAGGUUUCA